rnacentral:tRNA from 1 species
GCCAGCAUGGCAUAGUGGUUUGAGUGUUGGACUAGGACUCAGGAGAGCAGGGUUCAAAUCCCAGCUCAGCCU